GGACACAGGACAUACACUGUGAUUAUACAAGGAUAUACAUGUGUGUUUUGAGGGCUAUUCUGGGUAACUCUAGGUAGGUAGACACAUGUCUGGAUGGACACAGGACAUACACUGUGGUCAUACAAGGAUAUACCUGUGUGUUUUGAGGGUUAUUCUGGGCAACUCUAGUCCCGUUUGAUGUCUACAGGAGAGAAGACAAUGGAGGCAGAGGAAGCAAUCAAGCAUCCAUUUCAUGAAUUCGUUGUGAGUACCGCAUCCGUCAGUGAAGGAAAGUGUUGACUGUAACUUGUCUGCAGACACAGAUAGCAGGACGACUGUAUUCGUCCGUCAGCAGAUGCUGUAGUUAAGGUGGACAACAGUAGUCUCUAAACAGACACGUGGUGAAGUCUGGACAAUCGGGUUAGUGUACAGAUAAAGUGUGAGUGAGGUACAUGUCACUACUCUCAAACAUACAUAUUAAUUAUGAUACAUUUGAUAUCACGCCUAUUGGCAUUUUGACUAUGAUACUUUGAGCAAUCAGCCCAGCUCGAAGGGAUAUCAAUUUAAACAGACCUGACAGUUGAAAAAGUUUAGAGGGUAUAUACUAUUUAUCAAUGUGACGAGUCUAACUUUCUGGGUAAGCCGAUUUCCUGGCGAGUAGUCUCGGUUUAAGGUAUCCACCUACGUUCUACAAUCAAUGAGCUGGUAGCUUGAGCUGGUAGCUAGUAUGCAGAUGGUUUUCCAGGUCCAUUCAUACUAAAAAACAUUGCCUCAUUAGCUAUUUUGGCCGGAUAUAGAACUCUGAUUAUUUCCAUACCAUACCAUACACUAAUCAUGAAAAGUUCAAGAAACCCGAUUCGUUCGCAUUACUAUAGUUAAACGUACAUUGAAUGCAAUAAAAUAGUAAUACUAUUGUCA